rnacentral:lncRNA from 1 species
UGCCUGACACCCGAUAAAAGUAGUAUCAUUCUUUAUCUAUCUUUUUAUCUACCUAUCUAGACAUAUAUUCUGAUUUAUCAUUAUGACUUCAUAUAUAUCUAGUACAGGAUACUUUAUAAAUAAAUAAGCAUCAUGAAUUCUAACAUGGAAAUUUACACAUUUUAGAUAGACAACUCUUCCAUUUAAAAUUUAAGAAUAAAUUGCACAGCUUACCAAUUUUAUACCUGUAACCUGUUUGAACGCUCUUGAACUUCCACACACAAUUAUCACAACAUUGCUUGUUAAACAUAAUGACUCUGUGUUUUUUCUGUAGGAAUCCAGUUGGUCCCAAACUUACCAUAUCUCAAAGGCAUAUAAUGAUGCCCAAUUCUCCUGAAAAUGGAAAUAAAACCUCUAAAAAAGAAGAAUACCAACUUCCUCAAAUUUGAAAAGAAUAUUAUUCACCAUAAAGACAUGGGAAAGAGAUAUAAAACAGAUGAAGCUCAUCUUGGAACUUCUAACAUGGAAGCAAUGCGAACUUCCAGACGAGGAAAACAACCACAGGUAAAAGAAUAAUUUAUUCACCUAUGUAUGCAAAUAAGCUGUAUUUGCCACUUUCUUGACGUCUGCGCUCCAUUCUAAUCCCGAUUUUAGUUGCAUAUUCGCAUUAUUGUGAUCAUUGUUUAAUGUACUUCUUUCAUACAUAUCUAGAAAGAAAGUCUUAGGAAUUACAGUAUCUUUUAGGAGUUAAUAUAAUAAUCCGACAAAAAUAACAAGAUAAUAUACUUCCAUUUUUGUUUUCCUUGGUUUUGUUUUGAAUUGAGCUCUAGUUUCAUUAUCCUUUUCCUUCCAUGGAGACAUACGAGGUCUGUCGGGAAACUAUUCGGCCAUUGUUAAUAUGACAAGAGCGGUGUGUACGACAGCGGCGUAACCCGGCAGCAGAGGCGAGUGGGCCGGAGUGCGCAUGCGUGAACAAUGGCGCCUUCGCCCUACGAGUCAGCGGGGCGCUAGACGCUGUUGAUUGAGCAAAAGUACCGUGUGGCCGUCACAUCAGAAAUAAGCCAGAAGAGCAAUGGAUCUAUGUCAAAUUUCGCAUUAAGCUUGAACACUCCUCCGUGGAAACUAUUCGGGUGAUUCAGAAGGUUUUCAGGCAUGAUGCAGUGAGUUCAGCACCAAUAAAAGUGAGGCACAGACGCUUCACAGAUGGUGGAGACACGUUCUGGAAGGCCUGCAGCACGCAGAACACCUGAGAGUGUUGAACGUGUGGGUUAGGUUAAGG